GGUUGCAUUCCUUCUCUUCAUGCUUUUUGCUUGUCUCUUUACAUUUUUUUUCUUUGUUCUAUGAUUUUCCUUCGCGAUAAAAGUUUAAAAAUGUAUACAAUUCAUAUCUAAGACCACUAUUAUUUAUUUAUUUUGGGUUGUCAGUUUAAACAUAAAAUUGGGUUAUCUAUUUUACUAGCAAAAGAUGAGCAACAUCAGAAUGACUGGAUAAGCAAUUUAUCGCUUGUAUGAAGAUGGAGGUAGUAACCAUGGAGGAUAAGUUGAUAGAAGAUUGUUUGAGAUGGCUCAGUGGCAUUCCUUGUCAA
rnacentral:misc_RNA from 1 species